UAACACAUGCAAGUCGAGGGGCAGCAUGGUCUUAUCUUGCUAAGGCCGAUGGCGACCGGCGCACGGGUGAGUAACACGUAUCCAACCUGCCGUCUACUCUUGGACAGCCUUCUGAAAGGAAGAUUAAUACAAGAUGGCAUCAUGAGUCCGCAUGUUCACAUGAUUAAAGGUAUUCCGGUAGACGAUGGGGAUGCGUUCCAUUAGAUAGUAGGCGGGGUAACGGCCCACCUAGUCUUCGAUGGAUAGGGGUUCUGAGAGGAAGGUCCCCCACAUUGGAACUGAGACACGGUCCAAACUCCUACGGGAGGCAGCAGUGAGGAAUAUUGGUCAAUGGGCGAGAGCCUGAACCAGCCAAGUAGCGUGAAGGAUGACUGCCCUAUGGGUUGUAAACUUCUUUUAUAAAGGAAUAAAGUCGGGUAUGGAUACCCGUUUGCAUGUACUUUAUGAAUAAGGAUCGGCUAACUCCGUGCCAGCAGCCGCGGUAAUACGGAGGAUCCGAGCGUUAUCCGGAUUUAUUGGGUUUAAAGGGAGCGUAGAUGGAUGUUUAAGUCAGUUGUGAAAGUUUGCGGCUCAACCGUAAAAUUGCAGUUGAUACUGGAUAUCUUGAGUGCAGUUGAGGCAGGCGGAAUUCGUGGUGUAGCGGUGAAAUGCUUAGAUAUCACGAAGAACUCCGAUUGCGAAGGCAGCCUGCUAAGCUGCAACUGACAUUGAGGCUCGAAAGUGUGGGUAUCAAACAGGAUUAGAUACCCUGGUAGUCCACACGGUAAACGAUGAAUACUCGCUGUUUGCGAUAUACUGCAAGCGGCCAAGCGAAAGCGUUAAGUAUUCCACCUGGGGAGUACGCCGGCAACGGUGAAACUCAAAGGAAUUGACGGGGGCCCGCACAAGCGGAGGAACAUGUGGUUUAAUUCGAUGAUACGCGAGGAACCUUACCCGGGCUUAAAUUGCAGAUGAAUUACGGUGAAAGCCGUAAGCCGCAAGGCAUCUGUGAAGGUGCUGCAUGGUUGUCGUCAGCUCGUGCCGUGAGGUGUCGGCUUAAGUGCCAUAACGAGCGCAACCCUUGUUGUCAGUUACUAACAGGUUCCGCUGAGGACUCUGACAAGACUGCCAUCGUAAGAUGUGAGGAAGGUGGGGAUGACGUCAAAUCAGCACGGCCCUUACGUCCGGGGCUACACACGUGUUACAAUGGGGGGUACAGAGGGCCGCUACCACGCGAGUGGAUGCCAAUCCCCAAAACCUCUCUCAGUUCGGACUGGAGUCUGCAACCCGACUCCACGAAGCUGGAUUCGCUAGUAAUCGCGCAUCAGCCACGGCGCGGUGAAUACGUUCCCGGGCCUUGUACACACCGCCCGUCAAGCCAUGGGAGCCGGGGGUACCUGAAGUGCGUAAGCGCGAGGAGCGCCCUAGGGUAAAACUGGUGACUG
rnacentral:rRNA from 1 species